rnacentral:sRNA from 1 species
CUCCAAAGACCAACUUCAAACAAACGACCUUCAAAGUCAACCCCAAACCCAACCACCCCACUUCAAGAUGUCUCCCUGCGACUGCACCUGCUGCUCCGGCGACUGCAACUCCUGCUCUUGCGGUGACUGCAGCGUAAGUCUCU